GUAGGGAAUCUUCGGCAAUGGACGAAAGUCUGACCGAGCAACGCCGCGUGAGUGAAGAAGGUUUUCGGAUCGUAAAACUCUGUUGGUAGAGAAGAACGUUGGUGAGAGUGGAAAGCUCAUCAAGUGACGGUAACUACCCAGAAAGGGACGGCUAACUACGUGCCAGCAGCCGCGGUAAUACGUAGGUCCCGAGCGUUGUUCGGAUUUAUUGGGCGUAAAGCGAGCGCAGGUGGUUUAUUAAGUCUGGUGUAAAAGGCAGUGGCUCAACCAUUGUAUGCAUUGGAAACUGGUAGACUUGAGUGCAGGAGAGGAGAGUGGAAUUCCAUGUGUAGCGGUGAAGUGCGUAGAUAUAUGGAGGAACACCGGUGGCGAAAGCGGCUCUCUGGCCUGUAACUGACACUGAGGCUCGAAAGCGUGGGGAGCAAACAGGAUUAGAUACCCGGGUAGUCC
rnacentral:rRNA from 1 species